UACAUUUGAGUGAGUGGCGAACUGGUGAGUAACACGUGGGAAACCUGCCCAGAAGCGGGGGAUAACACCUGGAAACAGAUGCUAAUACCGCAUAACAACUUGGACCGCAUGGUCCGAGUUUGAAAGAUGGCUUCGGCUAUCACUUUUGGAUGGUCCCGCGGCGUAUUAGCUAGAUGGUGGGGUAACGGCUCACCAUGGCAAUGAUACGUAGCCGACCUGAGAGGGUAAUCGGCCACAUUGGGACUGAGAACGGCCCAAACUCCUACGGGAGGCAGCAGUAGGGAAUCUUCCACAAUGGACGAAAGUCUGAUGGAGCAACGCCGCGUGAGUGAAGAAGGGUUUCGGCUCGUAAAACUCUG
rnacentral:rRNA from 1 species